ensembl:lncRNA
UGGCCAGACUGUAGCCGCCAAAUUAUACGAAAUACCUGAAAAGGGACUUCUUGAAAGUUUACACGGAGAGUGCAUGGAACCAGGAAGCACUAUUCGACAUGUUCCUGCACGGUGUCUCUGAGGAGGUUAAGGACGAGCUUGCUGCUCGGAAAAUACCCACGGAUCUUGACUCCCUCCUCGCCUUGACCAUCUGCAUCAAUGGCCGAUUGCGGAAACGACGGAUGGAGAGGAAAUUCGAUUUCGCUCACACGUCCAGGGAUUCAACCACACCUCCGGGGGUCCCCAACAGUCCUGUUGCCGAGAGCACCCGACACUUCCCGACCUUCCGCGAGAGACACCAAAGACGGCCGAGGCACUGUUUCCCGAGCCCAUGCAACUAGGCAGAGCUGGGCUGACGCCAGCAGAACGGCAACACAGGAUCAAGACAAGGAGCUGUCCUGUAUUGCAGGACUUUUGGUGAUUUUGUGUCCUCUUGCCCGGUAAAAGACCAGGCUCACCGGUAGGAGCAAGUACUCUGGUGGGCCAUAUGGAGAACGUUUCUGCUUCCCUUACUCACACCCCUUUUUUUGUCAUUCUGCUGUGGGGAAACCAGUCCAAAUGUCUCUGGGUCCUCAUUGACUCUGGGUCCGAUGAGUGCUUUUUGGACGCCACACAAGCUUCCGAGCUGAACAUCCCCAUUCAGCCCCUCUCCAUUCCCAUAGAUGUUAGAGCACUGGACGGGUGCUCUAUAGGUCGGGUCACCCAUAACAUCCCACCACCCAUCAACCUACGUACAGUAUGUCAGGGAAUCAAAGCGAGACCAUUCAAUUCCUGCUCAUCAAGUCCCCCCAGACUCCCAUGGUUUUGGGAUUCUCCUGGCUCCAGCGACACAAUCCCCUCAUCAACUAGUCUAUCAUGGGCUGGAGUCCAUUUUGACACGGCCAUUGUCUGAAGUCGGUGCAACCUGCCCCGGGACAUCUUCCUGGGGGGCUCGGAAGUUGCUCCG